UAAGCGGAGGAAAAGAAACCAACAGGGAUUGCCUUAGUAACGGCGAGUGAAGCGGCAAAAGCUCAAAUUUGAAAUCUAGCACUUUCAGUGUUCGAGUUGUAAUUUGAAGAAGGUAACUUUGGAAUUGGCUCUUGUCUAUGUUCCUUGGAACAGGACGUCACAGAGGGUGAGAAUCCCGUGCGAUGAGAUGUCCAAUUCUAUGUAAAGUGCUUUCGAAGAGUCGAGUUGUUUGGGAAUGCAGCUCUAAGUGGGUGGUAAAUUCCAUCUAAAGCUAAAUAUUGGCGAGAGACCGAUAGCGAACAAGUACAGUGAUGGAAAGAUGAAAAGAACUUUGAAAAGAGAGUGAAAAAGUACGUGAAAUUGUUGAAAGGGAAGGGCUUGAGAUCAGACUUGGUAUUUUGUGUUCCUUAUUCUUUUUGGAUUUGGUUCCUCACAGCUUACCGGGCCAGCAUCGGUUUGGAUGGUAGGAUAAUGACAUUGGAAUGUAGCUUUGCUUCGGUGAAGUGUUAUAGACUUUGUUGAUACUGCCUAUCUAGACCGAGGACUGCGUCUUUGACUAGGAUGCUGGCGUAAUGAUCUUAAGCCGCCCGUCUUGAAA
rnacentral:rRNA from 1 species